rnacentral:tRNA from 1 species
GAAGGUAUAGCUCAAGUGGCAGAGCGUAUGCUUAGCAUGCACAAGGUCCUGGGUUCAAACCUAGUACCUCCU